CCUACGGGUGGCAGCAGUAGGGAAUAUUGCUCAAUGGGGGAAACCCUGAAGCAGCAACGCCGCGUGGAGGAUGAAGGUUUUCGGAUUGUAAACUCCUUUUGUUAGAGAAGAUAAUGACGGUAUCUAACGAAUAAGCCCCGGCUAACUCCGUGCCAGCAGCCGCGGUAAUACGGAGGGUGCAAGCGUUACUCGGAAUCACUGGGCGUAAAGAGCGCGUAGGCGGGAUAGCAAGUCAGAUGUGAAAUCCUAGGGCUUAACCAUAGAACUGCAUUUGAAACUGUUAUUCUAGAGUAUGGGAGAGGUAGGUGGAAUUCUUGGUGUAGCGGUAAAAUCCGUAGAGAUCAAGAGGAAUACUCAUUGCGAAGGCGACCUGCUAGAAUGUAACUGACGCUGAUGCACGAAGGCGUGGGGAGCAAACAGGAUUAGAUACCCGUGUAGUC
rnacentral:rRNA from 1 species